UAACCUGCCCGGAAGUGGGGAAUACCUCGGGGAAACUCGAGCUAAUGCCGCAUAAAAUCUCCGGGACGAAAGUCCUGGUGAUCAAAGCGGGGUCGCAAGAUCUCGCGCUACCGGAUGGGCCCGCGCCCGAUUAGCUAGUUGGUGAGGUAAUGGCUCACCAAGGCAGCGAUCGGUAACUGGUCUGAGAGGAUGACCAGUCACACUGGGACUGAGACACGGCCCAG
rnacentral:rRNA from 1 species